UCGAUUCUGCUCCGCACCACCCAAAUCCCCUGGUAGUUGCGGCUUCCGAAUACAUCCCGCUUAGGGACGGUACUGAAAAGUAUCGGCGUCCGAAGGACGUAAUAUACGAUCCCGACGACCCGAUUACCCUAGCCAUAGAGGCAGCCAAUCAGCUCGCGACACCAAACACUUCAGGACCCCGAUACCGACCCCGCCGGCGUGGUCGACGAUUUCCCUCAUUCAGCGCUUAUCGCUAUCGACCCACUAGGGUCGAUUAAUUCUUUCAAAUAUUUUUCCUCUCAGACGACGCCCUGAGCCGAGGUUCGCGCUCAACUGGGCACCCUCAGGCCUGUUGGCUUAAACGUUGUACCGGGUGAGCCUUCAUCGAUCCCCAUUUGUCAGGCCAAGUAGUUAAUGCCAUCUGCGGCAAAUCUACAAAAAAGUCACGUCAAAAAAAAACUGGUUUGUCUUUCUGCGUGAGGUAACGCCAAGCGAGCAACGGUAAUCGAGUGUUAUGUUUGAUAGCUCUGGUCGCUGCUAUUGAUGAUGAGAGAGUGUUCCCCGGCAGUAUGAACAGUCGA